GCAAGGGGGGGAGCAUUUGAAGGAUGGCUGGUGGGUCCCAGUGACGUUUCCAGAAGCAGAUGUCACUGAUCCUGCCUCAAGAUUUCUGUUUACGCCAAACCUGUGUAUUUUGCUUUGAUUUGUAUUGAUUAACGCUGGGCUCUAACUUGUACAUAGUUUGUAUAUAGGAUAAUUGCAUUUUUCUGUUCUCUCUUCUGCAGGUUUAGGUUUAGCUGCUUUGCCAGAGUGGAUAUCAAACAAUGCUUCCUUCUGCAAAUCUCAGGGAAUUCAAACUUAUUUGAGUUAAGAAAGGCCCCACCAGGAAAAGCUCAAUAGAAGUGCGAUUUAAAGUGAUGACUCCUGACUUUGAUGGUUCCUCAGCAUGAUGCUUCAGCCUGAAGGUUGGACUGGCUUCCCUGCUCUGUACUCCUCACACAUAUCAACCUGACAGAAACAUGGAAACUUCUCGUUUUGCCUUUAAACCAGCGGGAGAGGCGCUUGUCCCACCCUCAAGAGACGUGAGCCUGCUCACACUUUAGGAGCCUGGGCAGGCCAUCCCGAGGGCACGGUGCCCACUGUCAAUUGCUGCACCUCUGCCUUAUCUGGAGAGGCAAAGUUUACAACGAGAGGUAAUGAUUUUAAUCACAGCUAAUGUAUUUGAUGACCCUUCGGGCUCAGAGUGUAGUCAUCUGCCCAGAAAGGACGUGGCAGCAUCUGAACCGGCUGAUGUUAAGGCACAAUUGGCCUUAUCACAUGCAUGCCGCCUUGGUUACCCCACGGGCUUUUGCUGACCGAAACUCCUAAGUCCCCUCCUCGUGGCCAUAUCUAUUUCAGUCCCCGACUAACUAGCAUGCAUGCCAGACAGAAGGACCUUCAUUAAAAAAGACAAGCCUGUUGUUAAUACUAAUGAUGUUAAGAUUGCCACUGUUUUCCACUGGCACAUGGUUUCGGAGGAGAGUAAGUGCAGGACUGAAAGUUAGGAACAACUUUACCUCAGCAGGAUGAGGUAACAGUUUUUUCAGCCUUCUGUUACCACUCAAAGACUUCAAGACCACAGCAUAUAUUUUGAUACAUGUUUUCUCUACCAGCUGCUCUGAUAACUAACGAGGAAAUUUAAGGCCAGCAUUAUAUUAUUACGAUGUCUCAGAGCAUUGUGAGCCUUUAGCUGUGAGGAGAAGUAACUUGCUCACGUAGCAGACCAUCUGAACACAGAAAGAAAGCAGCCUUUCUGACGCUCUGUGUAGAAAGACAUCUGGGCAACCCAUCUUCUACUCUCAAGGCACAUUUCUGCCCAAACACCAUGACCCUCAGGCAGCCCUGUAACCCAUGAGGCCUACUUGGCGUUACACAAGGCAGGUGGCUGCCAGCCUGUCAGCAGAGCUUCUCACAGAAACAAACAUAAACAAAAACCAUGAAAAAGACCUGGGAAACCUCCCUUUUUUUCUUGCUUUCUCCUAAUUGGCAUCUACUUCCAUAACUGACUCUGAGAUGUUGGAACAUGCCAGGUGUCAGACUCCCAGAAGCCAGGACAAUAUUUGGCCCCAAUUCUGUUCUGUGGAGGCUCUGAGGAGUUUCCACUUUGCUUACAUGCAGCACUGCAGUUGGGACACCACUGAGCUCAUGGAUAUGCUCAGUGCCAUAGGUAACUCCACAGGUAACUCGCCAUUACCCAGACCCCAUGCCUAGCUAAGGGAAAGGUGGGUGCACAUGAACAGAGCUCAUCUAGAGCUGAUUGUUGCUGGAAAAUUAAUGCCUGGCUUAAUGUAGUGCACAGAAAAAGUCUUUUGGUGAUAUUUUCCCUUUUAUUGAGAAAAAGAUCUGAACAAUGUAGGUGUUUUUGUUAACGUCAAAAUGUAUCAGAUGUUUGUGUUGUAUUGCAUUCUUAUUAUUCUCAUAUUGUUGCCAACAUUACGAAAUCUAAUUCAAUACUGGAUACUGUAAUUUAACAA